CCAAUCAGAGAGGUACCCGUUUGUGGCCAGUCCAAUACCGAUACCAACUAUCACGGCAAAGUUGAAAAAUCCAACUGUCUGACUGUUGAAAUUAUAUGGUGGUGCCGCAAAGAGCUGACUCUGGGUUACGUUAACCACGAGAAAAACGCUGGCCGACCAGGAAACAAUGAAAGCUGCCAGGUGGACAAUAGGGAAGAGGUGGAGCUUCCAGGGGAUCCAAAAGUCAAGCAACAGACUUUUAGCUGGAUGUUCGACCAUCAAAAAUGGUCUAAACUGUCGCAAUGAAGGUUUCCCCUUGGAAAGGUAUGGAUCACUGUUUUUAUGUUCACUUUCAAUUUCAGAUUCUGUGGAUGGUUCCGCCGAACCGGCUUCCACGUUGGCAGCAUCCUUAUCAGUCACACCGUUCCCCGCAGCCAGAUCCCUUGGGCCGACAUUGAGCCACCAGAAGUCACGCCAGUGUAGAUUAUACGCCAUAGAUCCGGAAAUAACUGGUGACAUCUAGCAAUAGUAAGUAUCGACCUUGAUACAACCCUUGCGUUGAACAGGAAAUCAUACCACCAAUGCUCCGAAAUAAAACGUGAAGUAGAGCGUAUUGUAUGCACCCCGUUCGUGGAGGAACAUAAUAUCCGCGAUUAUUUGCGGCUGCGCAGUCUACGUAGCGCGUCAGAUGAGAUAAUUUUGGGAUAGAUCUGGACAAAGGUUUCUCACCUCUGCUGGUCCAGCACCAAAGCCAUUCAAAAUGCAGGCUCCCAUAAAGCUCCCGUAGGACGUGGCAAGGCCUCUCCAAAUCGAAGCGACCAAACACACCAGGGUAGAUAAAAUCAAUACUGGUCUUCUUCCAAAGCAUGUUUGCAAUGGAACCCUACAGGUGCCCCGUCAAUGGGCGGCCAAAAAAAGAGAGGAAAUGAAAGAAAGGAGAAGAAGGAGAAGAAGAAGAAGAAAUGUUGGAAACGAUGGCUUGAAUCAAUCUCUCAACUCACCAGAAAAAAUUGCUAAACCCA
rnacentral:sRNA from 1 species